rnacentral:rRNA from 1 species
GACGAACCGUGCGAACGUUGUUCGGAUUCACUGGGCUUAAAGGGCGCGUAGGCGGACUCGCAAGUCUGUGGUGAAAGCCCCCAGCUCAACUGGGGAAGUGCCGUGGAUACUGCAAGUCUGGAGGAGGGUAGGGGCAUCUGGAACGCUGGGUGGAGCGGUGAAAUGCGUUGAUAUCCAGCGGAACUCCGGUGGCGAAGGCGAGGUGCUGGACCCUUUCUGACGCUGAGUGCGCGAAAGCCAGGGGAGCAAACGGG